rnacentral:rRNA from 1 species
UACGUAGGGUGCGAGCGUUAAUCGGAAUUACUUUUCUUCCCGCGUGCGCAGGCGGCGCGUUAAGACAGGUGUGAAAGCCCCGAGCUUAACUUGGGAAUUGCGCUUGUGACUGGCGUGCUGGAGUGUGGCAGAGGGAGGUGGAAUUCCACGUGUAGCAGUGAAAUGCGUAGAGAUGUGGAGGAACACCGAUGGCGAAGGCAGCCUCCUGGGCCAGCACUGACGCUCAUGCACGAAAGCGUGGGGAGCAAAUAGG